rnacentral:rRNA from 1 species
CAGUCGCCACGGUAAGACAGAGGAUGCAAGCGUUAAUCGGAUUUACUGGGCGUAAAGCGUGCGUAGGCGGCUUCUUAAGUCGGAUGUGAAAUCCCUGAGCUUAACUUAGGAAUUGCAUUCGAUACUGGGAAGCUAGAGUAUGGGAGAGGAUGGUAGAAUUCCAGGUGUAGCGGUGAAAUGCGUAGAGAUCUGGAGGAAUACCGAUGGCGAAGGCAGCCAUCUGGCCUAAUACUGACGCUGAGGUACGAAAGCAUGGGGAGCAAACAGGAUUAGAUACCCGAGUAGUCCCUGUCUCUUAUAC